rnacentral:rRNA from 1 species
UAAUACGGAGGGGGCGAGCGUUGUUCGGAUUUACUGGGCGUAAAGCGUGCGUAGGUGGUUUCCCAAGUUAGAAGUGAAAGCCCAGGGCUUAACCCUGGAACUGCUUUUAAAACUGGGUCACUAGAAUUUAGGAGAGGUAGAUGGAAUUCCGAGUGUAGAGGUGAAAUUCGUAGAUAUUCGGAGGAACACCAAUGGCGAAAGCAGUCUACUGGACUAACAUUGACACUGAGGCACGAAAGCGUGGGGAGCAAACAGGAUUAGAUACCCUGGUAGUCCACGCCGUAAACGAUGUGUGCUAGUUAUCGGGCAAUUUAUUGUUCGGUGACGCCGCUAACGCAUUAAGCACACCGCCUGGGGAGUACGGUCGCAAGAUUA